GUGCCAGCAGCCGCGGUAAUACGGAGGGAGCUAGCGUUGUUCGGAAUUACUGGGCGUAAAGCGCGCGUAGGCGGUCCAUCAAGUCAGAGGUGAAAGCCCGGGGCUCAACCCCGGAACUGCCUUUGAAACUGGCGGACUAGAAUCUUGGAGAGGCGAGUGGAAUUCCGAGUGUAGAGGUGAAAUUCGUAGAUAUUCGGAAGAACACCAGUGGCGAAGGCGACUCGCUGGACAAGUAUUGACGCUGAGGUGCGAAAGCGUGGGGAGCAAACAGGAUUAGAAACCCUCGUAGUCC
rnacentral:rRNA from 1 species